rnacentral:rRNA from 1 species
GACGAACGCUGGCGGCGUGCUUAACACAUGCAAGUCGAACGGAAAGGCCCUGCUUUUGUGGGGUGCUCGAGUGGCGAACGGGUGAGUAACACGUGAGUAACCUGCCCUUGACUUUGGGAUAACUUCAGGAAACUGGGGCUAAUACCGGAUAGGAGCUCCUGCUGCAUGGUGGGGGUUGGAAAGUUUCGGCGGUUGGGGAUGGACUCGCGGCUUAUCAGCUUGUUGGUGGGGUAGUGGCUUACCAAGGCUUUGACGGGUAGCCGGCCUGAGAGGGUGACCGGCCACAUUGGGACUGAGAGACGGCCCAGACUCGUACGGGAGGCAGCAGUGGGGAAUAUUGCACAAUGGGCAGAAGCCUGAUGCAGCAACGCCGCGGGCGGGAUGACGGCCUUCGGGUUGUAAACCGCUUUCGCCUGUGACGAAGCGUGAGUGACGGUAAUGGGUAAAGAAGCACCGGCUAACUACGUG